rnacentral:rRNA from 1 species
UAGUCCACGCCGUAAACGAUGAGUACUAGGUGUCGGGGUUUCAAUACUUCGGUGCCGCAGUUAACACAUUAAGUACUCCGCCUGGGAAGUACGAUCGCAAGAUUAAAACUCAAAGGAAUUGACGGGGGCCCGCACAAGUAGCGGAGCAUGUGGUUUAAUUCGAAGCAACGCGAAGAACCUUACCUGGGCUUGACAUCCCAAGAAUCCUGUGGAAACACGGGAGUGCCCUUCGGGGAACUUGGUGAC